GAACGCACAUUGCGCCCUUUGGUAUUCCGAAGGGCAUGCCUGUCCGAGCGUCAUUACAACCCUCAAGCCCGGCUUGCGUGUUGGGCGUCGGCCCCCCGGGGCCCGCCCGAAAUACAGGGACCUCCCGUUGAAGGGCUCCCAGCGUAUGGGCUAACACCCGCUGAGAGAGACCCCAGACACGGAGGUCGAACCCCCGCAGUUUAACUGUAGCUCGGUGGACCUCGGAUCAGGUAGGGAUACCCGCUGAACUUAAG
rnacentral:misc_RNA from 1 species